rnacentral:rRNA from 1 species
CGACUCUCGGCAACGGAUAUCUCGGCUCACGCAUCGAUGAAGAACGUAGCAAAAUGCGAUACUUGGUGUGAAUUGCAGAAUCCCGUGAACCAUCGAGUUUUUGAACGCAAGUUGCGCCCGAAGCCUUUUGGCCGAGGGCACGUCUGCCUGGGCGUCACGUA